UACGAAGGGGGCUAGCGUUGCUCGGAAUCACUGGGCGUAAAGGGUGCGUAGGCGGGUCUUUAAGUCGGGGGUGAAAUCCUGGAGCUCAACUCCAGAACUGCCUUCGAUACUGAAGAUCUUGAGUUCGGGAGAGGUGAGUGGAACUGCGAGUGUAGAGGUGAAAUUCGUAGAUAUUCGCAAGAACACCAGUGGCGAAGGCGGCUCACUGGCCCGAUACUGACGCUGAGGCACGAAAGCGUGGGGAGCAAACAGG
rnacentral:rRNA from 1 species